ACUAAAUGUUACAGUUGUGGAAGGUAUGGACAUGUGACGCGAGAUUGUCGAAAAGGGCAAGGCCAGAUAUCAAAACAGGUUAAGAAUGAGCAGCUACCUGGUAUGUGUCGCUGGUGUGGUAAAGGACGACACUGGGCUAAUAAAUGCCGUUCCAAAAGGGGUAAGUUAGGAAAUCUUUUGCCUCCACGAGAUGAUGUCUCGGGAAACGGGAAGCUAGGCCCAACCUGGGGCCGCAACAACAAUACGGGAAAAGUGACAGUAAACUCUCAACAGUAUCCAGUAAGCAAUGGCAGCUUUUAUCAGACAUUACAGGACAGUCUCAACCUCGGCUCUUAGUUACUGAUCUCAUACAUAAUACCAGUGGCAGUGCUGCCGUUGACUUGAGUGCUUCUCGAGAUGGUAUCCUUACGCCAGCAGGAGAAAUACACAAAUUAGCUACAGGAGUUUAUGGCCCUAUACCUACAGAAACCGUGAGACUAUUAUUAGAACGAAGUAGUUUGACUCUGCAGGAUGUAACAGUUCAUACUGGAGUUAUUGAUGAGGAUUAUAAUGGAGAAAUUUCUAUUAUGAUUUCUGUUACAAAAUCUAUAGAAUUUAAUAAGGGACAAAGAAUUGCUCAAUUGUUACUGUUACCGUAUGUAAAACAAGCAGCCGCCCCAGUAAAGCCUACUGGGGGGUUCGGCAGCACGGGAAAAAAUGUUUUUUGGCAAUCCUUUAUCAACGACCAACGUCCUCAAUUAACGCUUACUUUUAACAAUAAUGUGAAAUUUACAGGCCUUGUUGAUACGGGAGCUGAUGUGUCUAUAAUAAAACAGUCUGAAUGGCCUUCAUAUUGGCCUUUAAAAAAGAUGGAAGCUACUUUUACAAAAAUAAAAACAUUACAUAUGGUUUGACACAAUAAAAAAUUGAGAUGUAAAGGCCCGGAAGGACAAAAAGCCAUGUUACAACCAUAUGUGGCCAAUAUUAAAAUUAAUUUAUGGGAAAGAGAUAUACUACAACAAUAGAAAACCUCUAUCUCCAUACCAACAAUUUCCCCUAAAACAAUACAAAUGAUGUCAAACAUAAAAUGUGAUUAUUCACAGUUAAAUGCUACUAAACCCCAAUAUGUAACUAAAACAGGAAAAGAUUAUACUGGGCUUGGAUAUCCAAAUUUAGUGUAGGGGCCACUGCUCAAAAAUUUGCAUUACCAUUAAAAUGGUUAAAAGAUACCCCUAUAUGGACAGAGCAGUGGCCCUUAACUCAAGAAAAAUUACAAACAUUACACCAAUUAAUACAAAAACAAUUAAUAACAGGACAUAUUAAAGUAUCCACUAGCCCUUAAAACUCACCUGUUUUUGUAAUAAAAAAAAAUCAAAAAAAUGGAAAAUGUUGACAGAUUUACGAAAAAUUAAUGAGAUUAUUCAACCUAUGCGGGCAUUGCAACCUGGAAUUCCAUCUGCUGCAAUGCUCCCUCGCAAUUGGGAACUUAUAAUUAUAGAUUUAAAAGACUGGUUUUUUACUAUACCAUUACAAUCUCAAGAUUGUGAAAAAUUUACAUUUACUGUACCAGCCCUAAAUCAAAAAGAUCCGGCUCAGAGAUUUCAAUAAAAAGUUCUCCCUCAGGGGAUGUUAAAUAGUCCAACUAUGUGCCAAUUUUUUGUUAAUCAACCUUUGGAGGAUUUACGUCACAUAUAUCCUGAGACACGUAUUCUUCAUUAUAUGGAUGACAUUCUAUUUGCUCAUUCUCAUCAGCAAAUGUUACAACAGAUGUUACAACAAGCAGAGUUGAAAUUUUAAAAAUGGGGUUUACAAAUAGCUCCUGAAAAACUUCAAAAAUGUGCUUCCUGGCAAUAUCUUAAACAAAUUGUAACCAAUACUCAAAUUAUUCCUCAGAAAGUACAAAUUAGACGAGAUUCUCUUGUAACAUUAAAUGAUUUUCAAAAAUUACUAGGAGAUAUUAAUUGGUUACGUCCUAGCCUAGGAAUUCCUACUUAUAAGUUACAAAAUUUAUUUCACACCUUGGAAGGCGAUCCAGCAUUGAAUAGUCACCGUGAACUUUCUCCCCAGGCUGAACAAGAACUUAAAUGGAUAGAAAAACAUAUACAUGAUGCACAGUUGGAUCGGAUCGAGUCUCUGGAUCAUUUACGACUUAUUGUAUUUCAUACUCCUCAUUCCCCUACUGGAUUACUACAACAACAAGAUAAUCUCAUAGAGAGCUGAAUCCUAUUGGGUGCCGGCUAAGAAGAUAAAGCUUCGGGAUGGCAACUAAGCGUAGCUUUGAUGUGACGGAAAUGACGAAGGGAUUUGCGGAGAUGGAUUUGAGCAAGAGAGCAUCCCGUGCGCCAUUGGAUCGAACAAAGAGGGCGUCUCCAUUGACCUGGGGGCAAGUGAAAAAGUUUGCAGGCACUGCCGAAAAUCUUGUUAUUUCGCAGGGUAAACCCCUCAAUAGCACCAAUCUUUUUGUGGCCAUGAUGGCAGUGUUGUCUGCACAGUCCAACGACGAGUAAAAGCUACCUGCCAUGCAACGUCACAACAAGCUGCCGUGUUCUCCUUGAUGCUGCAUAAGCUGCAAAACGAAAAGGGGGAAACGUAGUGGAAUAACUGAGGACAUGGAAAGGAGACGUGACCCAUGAGCCACCCCCCCC